AGGCAGAGGAAAGCCCAAAUGUGAUGUUAAACACACAGAGGAGACCCCACAUGGGUUACUCACACAGACGCUGCCAAAGGUCCUGCUGUUUCACACUGUGCAGAGUGAAUAAACUAUGGCAUAAAACUAUGGCAACUCCCUUGAGUGGCUCAGCAGUACAGAAUCUGCGUGCAAUGCAGGAGAUCCAGGUUUGAUCCCUGGGUCAGGAAGAUCCCCUUGAAGAGGGCAUGGCAACCCAUUCCAGUACUCUUGCCUAGAGAAUCCCCAUGGACAGAGGAGCCCGGUGGCUACAGUCCGUAGGAUCGCCAAGAGUCUGACAAGACUGAAGAGACUGAGAACAUAUGCAAGCAUCUUUUCUCACUGACAGGAAUCCAGUCUUCUUGGAGAAUUGGCUGUUUCCAGGUACAGAGCAACAAUUAUACAAGAUAAACGCAGAGCAUCUUUUAUCAGAAGUUAAGAAAGCUGCCAAACCUCACUGGGCUCAUGUCAAAAGGGCUCAGAUGCCAACCUGAAGGAGCAUCAGAUACAAA